rnacentral:rRNA from 1 species
AGUGAACGCUGGCGGCGUGCUUAACACAUGCAAGUCGAACGAGAACGGGUUAUCGCUUGCUAUAAUUGUCAGCUAAGUGGCGCACGGGUGAGUAAUGUAUAGGUAAUAUGCCUCUUGCUCAGGGAUAACAAAUGGAAACGUUUGCUAAUACCUUAUACUCCUUAUUAACAGAAGUUAAUAAGGGAAAGAUUUAUUGGUAAGAGAUUAGCCUGUAUUGUAUCAGUUAGUUGGUGAGGUAAUGGCUUACCAAGACUAUGACACAUAACUGGUUUGAGAGGAUGAUCAGUCACACUGGAACUGAGACACGGUCCAGACUCCUACGGGAGGCAGCAGUGGGGAAUAUUGCACAAUGGACGAAAGUCUGAUGCAGCAACGCCGCGUGGAGGAUGACACAUUUCGGUGCGUAAACUCCUUUUAUAUGAGAAGAUAAUGACGGUAUUAUAUGAAUAAGCACCGGCUAACUCCGUGCCAGCCGCCGCCGUAA